UAGCUGCGUUAAAUAGCGCGAAUUGCAGACACAUUGAGCGCUAAAAUUUCGAACGCACAUUGCGCCAUCGGGUUCGUUCCCGUUGGCAUGCCUGUCUGAGGGUCAGAUACCCUAUGUUACCGAUAGUCGCUUACGACUAGGUUGUUCGUGUUAGCGGUCGUCUUGCUAGCGCGGAGUCCCUAGUACCUACGUUCGCGCCGGUUAAGCGGAGUGCUACUUCGGGCGUCGGAGUACCACUCUUAGAUGAAACAGUUCUUCGGAACUCGCGUUAAGCAACGCGACGCUUCGACAUUAAGGUGGCUAAGGCCGGGUUCGCGCCGCUUUCACGAAAAGCACGAAUCUCGACUAACCGCUACCGUCGGGUGUACUUCAUCAAUUGACCUCAGAUCAGACAUGACUA
rnacentral:misc_RNA from 1 species